GAUGAACGCUAGCGGCAGGCCUAACACAUGCAAGUCGAACGCCCCGCAAGGGGAGUGGCAGACGGGUGAGUAACGCGUGGGAACCUUCCCUGUGGUACGGAAUAACUGACCGAAAGGUUAGCUAAUACCGUAUACGUCCGAGAGGAGAAAGAUUUAUCGCCACAGGAUGGGCCCGCGUCGGAUUAGCUAGUUGGUGAGGUAAUGGCUCACCAAGGCGACGAUCCGUAGCUGGUCUGAGAGGAUGAUCAGCCACACUGGGACUGAGACACGGCCCAGACUCCUACGGGAGGCAGCAGUGGGGAAUAUUGGACAAUGGGCGCAAGCCUGAUCCAGCCAUGCCGCGUGAGUGAUGAAGGUCUUCGGAUUGUAAAACUCUUUCGCCGGGGAAGAUAAUGACGGUACCCGGAGAAGAAGCUCCGGCUAACUUCGUG
rnacentral:rRNA from 1 species